AUGUGCCCUGUGAGAAUUUUAGAAACAUUGGUUCAGUUACGCCUCCAAUUCUGUGAUGUUCUGAAUUCAUUGCAAAGUUCUUUUUUCUCCCCAGGGGCCUUUUCAGACAUUCAGCUCACAUCAUCUGGACCAGGAACAGUGAGACCCGGAGAGAAUCUCAAUUUGCUCUGUAAAGUGACAGGAGUCUCAAUUUCUGCUGAGUAUUAUUACUGGCACUGGAUCCGUCAGCCUCCUGGGAAAGGUCUGGAAUGGGUUGGAGAAGUAUACCCCUAUAAUGGGGUCAAGAAAUACAACCCUUCUCUGCGAAGCCGUACAACCAUUUCUGCAGACUCCUCCAAGAACCAGGUCUCUCUCCAGCUGAACUCCCUGACAGCUGCUGACUCUGCAGUCUAUUACUGUACCAAAGGACCACAGUGA